ACUAAAUGAAUAAGAAAAGAAUAUCGAAUAUAAUUAUAUUAUAUAAUAUGGUUAAUUUUGGGAAAUAUUUAAAUGCAUGCGCUAACAAAAUAAAUAAAACAAUAAUAUAUUGGUAACAUACUAAAUUAUCGAAAUAUAUCAGUGUGUCCAAUUUUGAGGUAUUUGGACAAAAAUGGAUUUUAUGAUUCAACACCUUUCUCAGCAUUGAGGUAUCAUGCUAUAAUAAGAUUCAUUUAUAAUCACAGACAUAUAAAUCUUCAUUGUGGUACCACUCAUUUUAAAUGACUACAUAUAUCGUGCAGUGUUCAUCGUCGUAUUUCAAAUAGUCUUGUUAUUGACCAACUGUACACUCAACAGAAUGGAGAAAGUACCACUAAGGGCCAGGUCAACCUUACGCUUUAUGAAGGUUUUCCACUUCGUUGUUCAUGCGUUUCUCUAUGCAUUGAUCGAAGAUGUUUUUUCUGUUCACGUUGAAACUGCUUUGGGUCAACACUUAGGGUCAUUAAAACUCAACGGAAGUCGAGACGAAAACUACCUACGCAGGUUUUUAGAUCAGCAUUUGAAGUCAAAAGGCGAUUGUAAGCACUUCAAGUUUCGCGUAGUUCAGUUAUCUUUACGAUCAAUGGGGAAUCAUAACCCUGGUUACGUAAAACUUCUUGAAAAUGUCAAACAGGUUCGAAAUAGACUCUUUAGCCUCAUCAAGGGAAACUUUUGUAUUUCUGAAGCAGACGAAACCUCUAUGAACUAUCACAUGGAAUCAUUUCUUGAAGAUGCGUUAGAAAAGCUGAACGACGAUAGUCUAAUAAGAAAAGUAGACAGUGUUAACUGCACCGAUUAUAACCUAUUGUUCGAUGAAUUGGAAAAUUGGAUUCAGGAAGAUGAAUCAUAUGGUUGGUAUCAGUGUUCAGUUUAUCUUUAGUAAAUGACUAUCUUUCCCGCUUGACACAUGGAAAAUUUCAAAAGCUUUCGUUGGGGAUAUCGUUGACUCGUGACAAACUUUGCCAUUUUGUGUCGUAAGUAUUCCAUUUGUUCUUGCAAGGAAACCUUGGCGGCGGCUGCAUUUCCAUUUCAAAUGAAGAGAAAAACCAUCUGAAAGAUCACAGUUCUUUUCACGACUCUUGUAAAAACUGUGAUGGAUCAAAACAGUUUUUCAAACGGACACUUAAUGGAAAAAGAUCACCAAACGAAUCAUGUGAAAUACACACAUAUCUUAUUAAUAUGUUCGUGUUAAAAAAGGAUAGAAAGCUGCGUGAUAUCCUGUCCUGUGAAAUUAAAGAUUUACAAGAUAUUAUAUGCCAUUGCAGUCUUUUUCAAGAACCGAACAGAGGUGUCAAUGCAUUUCUCAAAGAGGUGACAAAAGCCAGGAACGAAAUUGCUCAUUCAACGAACAACACGAUGGAAUCUCCAACUACUGAAACAAUAUUUUAAAAACAUGGUUGGGCUUUUAUGCGCUCUAUCGCAGUAUCGAAUUAUUUCGAAACCAUUGAAAAGCGAAAUGAAAAACGGCGAAAGAGAUCUUGAACAGCUUAGCACCAGCAAGAUCAUCGUGCGUAUAUUUGAGGAUAACAACGAAGCUCUUACGGAAAAGAAAAGAGCACUAGUGGCAGAUAUUGCAGAAGCGAACAUCGCAGAAGUCGAUCAUAUUUCAGGUCUACUUAAAGAUGUACUCAGAGAAAAAGAACACUUAGAAAAAGAGUACCAAUGCUAUGCCAAUAAUGGAGCUACAAUGACUUCUGAAGAUGGGCAACACCUAAAACAUCUUUGUGCGACCAUUUUGCGCUUUGUCCGGAUUGCAAGUGAAAUAUGUAUUAUACGCGUAUGUACAGAUGAGAACCUUCUUGGACCACUUCUUGAACGAUUUAAUCAACUUUGUUGAUUUCAAUAGGCAAUCUGUGUGUUAUAAUGCAACAUAAAACAUUUUAUAAUAGUAUUUGAGGCGAUGACCUCAAUUAUCCAUAUGCUAGAGUUCCUAUAUCAUUCGCUGUGUUAUCAUUUGAUCACAUGCUAAAUCUUGUUUCCGGUUUCAUAUAUAGCCAUUACGUAAAUUGUCCGUACGACACAUAUGUAAUAUAACAUUCCUUCAUUUAUAUUGGUCAGAAAAUAACCACACUGCAUGUUUGUCAACAAAUAAUUAGGCAAAAUUAAUUGCUUCAUUGGCAUAUUCUAGCAAGUCAUACGUUAAUUUAUCUGUUUGUAGUUAUGAUGAAGAUUUAAUUGGAAAACAUAAGUACAUUUUCUAUCUAGGAAAGAUCUGUUUUUAAUAUUUGAUUUUGUGAAAAACUUUAUCAAAAACGGUCGUUUCUUAUUUAUUAAAACUGGUAAUGACGCCAUGAAUAUAUAUAACAAAUAUUACCAGAUAUGACGUCAUAAUUUAAAAGAAAACAAAUUUCGUUAACAGCAUAGUGAGAUUUUUUUUGUUAUCAUAAUGUGAUAUCAUCUUAGUAUACAUUCUACGAAUAUAUAAACUCAAUUGGGUUUUCCUCGUGUUUUAAAAUUAUUUCGGGUACUACUUUCAUUUUUUUGUUUAGUUGUGAUUUAAUAUAUUCUAUUUAAUUUUUCUCCUCUAUUUUUAGUAUACUUUCUAAUGCGAAUGUGAAGAUUUCUGAUAUAAUCUUUAUUUAUUUUUUUCUCAUUAUGUGUUUGGCUUUGCAUCUUAUUUUGUUUCAUUGAAAUUAACCGUUUCUUGGAUGCGAUUUAAUAUUGGUUUGUUAAGAGCACGUGAUAUCCACCUUACAAUUUGAUUGGUUCGUGAACCAGGUGAAAUCAAUCUGGGAGUGAAACCGAAAAGCAAAUGUUAUGCGUGUCGUUACCACGAAACAGUUACUUAACCAAACCAGUGAAUGAAAUAUUCUAGCAAGCUACAUAAAUACUUUUAUGUCCCAUAAAUGUUAUUUACAUUCCCUUUUCGUAGAGAGAAUACAAAUAUACGAGCUGAUAUAAGUAACAACUGCUAAUGAACUUCCUUCAACAUUCAAAUAUUGUUUUUCAUUAUUUCAAAGUUAUCUUUCAAUCACAAAUAAUGCAGUUAUAAUAAUUUUAAAUUACAUACAAGUCACGUGCAAUUCUUUAAAUAUGAUAAUAUUGAAGGUCUUUUCUUUAAUAGAAAUGCAUUUUCCGUGGCCGUUUUAUUUGAGUAAAAUAUAUAAAACUCCAUUAAAUCAUGAGUCAAAUAAUGAUCAAAAUGUGCAAAUAUUGAACACAAAUGUUUCUGUUUUAG